CAGUGCCGCGGGAAUACGUAGGGUGCGAGCGUUAAUCGGAAUUACUGGGCGUAAAGCGUGCGCAGGCGGUUAUAUAAGACAGAUGUGAAAUCCCCGGGCUCAACCUGGGACCUGCAUUUGUGACUGUAUAGCUAGAGUACGGUAGAGGGGGAUGGAAUUCCGCGUGUAGCAGUGAAAUGCGUAGAUAUGCGGAGGAACACCGAUGGCGAAGGCAAUCCCCUGGACCUGUACUGACGCUCAUGCACGAAAGCUAGGGGAGCAGACAGGAUUAGAUACCCCUGUAGUCCCUGUCUCUUAUACA
rnacentral:rRNA from 1 species